AGUCGGAACUCAAUCGACGCGAGUAUUAGAAAUGAUAUGAGCGGCGUUCGAUACUGCAAUAGUUACAUGGGCGGGUUAUGCCCCAUGAGCCGAGUGCAGAGCCGCCGCCGCGUCCUUGAGUUUAUCAUUGA
rnacentral:ncRNA from 1 species